rnacentral:lncRNA from 1 species
GUAUGUGAUGUGUUUGUGUCACCAUAAAAAGCUGAUAUUCAGUCGUGUUUUUUGAUAUUUUUGUUAUUUCAUAAUCGAGUACCUUUUUAAAGGUCUAAUGGCUCCGUUCAGCUGUUGUAUGCAGACGGUGGAAAAAUUCGAAAGUAAACAUUUAUUUAAUCCAAAUUACUCAUAUUUCUAUGUAAAAUGUCACAUUAUUGUAUAAAUAAAUAAGUAAGAAACAAAA